rnacentral:lncRNA from 1 species
UUCACAAGGAUCCAAAGAAGGAUUUCUUACAUCAAACAUAUAAUGUGGUGGAUUUGGACUUUUUUGCCAUGUUUUAAAUGUUUCAAUAGGUCUUUGUAUCCAACUUCUAGGCAUAAUUUUUUCAUAAAUAUGAGCUGCGUAUCCCCAAGAAAUUGAAAAUGUCCAAUUACUUGAUCUUUUGUGGCAAAUUGUUUAUUGUAACAUUCUUGAUUGAUCAUAAUUUGCAGCAUUUAAGAGGUGGAAAAUUGAUUGGGAACGAUCCAUUGAGGGAAAAAUUGGAUCAAUCAUGUCAAAAUGGUGAAGGGACAUUAAUAAAGAUUUUGGAUGAGAUGAUAGAAAUCCUGAUAUAUCACCACGUAGAUCAAUCUGCAAGUUAUAGAUAUCCAAAUAUUAUGUAAGGGAAAAGAAAAAAAUAUUGCAUACUUUAUCUAAUUAAUUGAUAAGACAUAUCUUGCCGAUUACAUUAACAGUGUAAAAAGUGAAAAAAAAUAAGAAAAAAAGAGAAAUAAUAGGGUGGAGCUAGAACACAGGUUACAAGUUAUGCCGAAACUAGUCGUUUUAAUUCAAAUUCUAUAUUUAUCAUAAAAAUCUAUUGAAUAUGUAAAAAUUAAUUAAUUUAAAACUCGG